rnacentral:rRNA from 1 species
GGGGAAUUUUCCGCAAUGGGCGAAAGCCUGACGGAGCAAUACCGCGUGAGGGAUGACGGCCUAUGGGUUGUAAACCUCUUUUUUCAGGGAGGAAAAAAAUGACGUUACCUGAAGAAUAAGCAUCGGCUAACUCCGUGCCAGCAGCCGCGGUAAGACGGAGGAUGCAAGUGUUAUCCGGAAUCACUGGGCGUAAAGCGUCUGUAGGUGGUUGACUAAGUCAACUGUUAAGUCUUGAGGCUCAACCUCAAAACCGCAGUCGAAACUAUUCAACUAGAGUCUAGUAGGGGUAAAGGGAAUUUCCAGUGGAGCGGUGAAAUGCGUAGAGAUUGGAAAGAACACCGAUGGCGAAGGCACUUUACUGGGCUAUGACUAACACUGAGAGACGAAAGCUAGGGUAGCAAAUGGGAUUAGAUACCCCAGUAGUC